UACGUAGGGGGCUAGCGUUGUCCGGAUUUAUUGGGCGUAAAGAGCGUGUAGGCGGCCAGGUAGGUCUGCUGUGAAAACUCGAGGCUCAACCUCGAGACGUCGGCGGAAACCAUCUAGCUAGAGUCCGGAAGAGGAGAGUGGAAUUCCUGGCGUAGCGGUGAAAUGCGCAGAUAUCAGGAAGAACACCCGUGGCGAAGGCGGCUCUCUGGGACGGUACUGACGCUGAGACGCGAAAGCGUGGGGAGCGAACAGG
rnacentral:rRNA from 1 species